UAGGGAAUCUUCCGCAAUGGACGCAAGUCUGACGGAGCAACGCCGCGUGAGUGAAGAAGGAUUUCGGUUCGUAAAACUCUGUUGUUAGAGAAGAACAGCGCAUAGAGUAACUGUUAUGCGUGUGACGGUAUCUAACCAGAAAGCCACGGCUAACUACGUGCCAGCAGCCGCGGUAAUACGUAGGUGGCAAGCGUUGUCCGGAUUUAUUGGGCGUAAAGCGAGCGCAGGCGGUCAAUUAAGUCUGAUGUGAAAGCCCCCGGCUCAACCGGGAAGGGUCAUUGGAAACUGGUUGGCUUGAGUGCAGAAGAGGAGAGUGGAAUUCCAUGUGUAGCGGUGAAAUGCAUAGAUAUAUGGAGGAACACCAGUGGCGAAGGCGACUCUCUGGUCUGUAACUGACGCUGAGGCUCGAAAGCGUGGGUAGCAAACAGG
rnacentral:rRNA from 1 species